AUUGAACGCUGGCGGCAGGCCUAACACAUGCAAGUCGGACGGUAGCACAGAGGAGCUUGCUCCUUGGGUGACGAGUGGCGGACGGGUGAGUAAUGUCUGGGAUCUGCCCGAUAGAGGGGGAUAACCACUGGAAACGGUGGCUAAUACCGCAUAACGUCGCAAGACCAAAGAGGGGGACCUUCGGGCCUCUCACUAUCGGAUGAACCCAGAUGGGAUUAGCUAGUAGGCGGGGUAAUGGCCCACCUAGGCGACGAUCCCUAGCUGGUCUGAGAGGAUGACCAGACACACUGGAACUGAGACACGGUCCAGACUCCUACGGGAGGCAGCAGUGGGGAAUAUUGCACAAUGGGCGCAAGCCUGAUGCAGCCAUGCCGCGUGUAUGAAGAAGGCCUUCGGGUUGUAAAGUACUUUCAGCGGGGAGGAAGGCGACGCGGUUAAUAACCGCGUCGAUUGACGUUACCCGCAGAAGAAGCACCGGCUAACUCCGUGCCAGCAGCCGCGGUAA
rnacentral:rRNA from 1 species